GUAAGGUAACGGCUCACCAAGGCGACGAUGCGUAGCCGACCUGAGAGGGUGAUCGGCCACACUGGGACUGAGACACGGCCCACACUCCUACGGGAGGCAGCAGUAGGGAAUCUUCCGCAAUGGACGAAAGUCUGACGGAGCAACGCCGCGUGAGUGAUGAAGGUUUUCGGAUCGUAAAGCUCUGUUGUUAGGGAAGAACAAGUACAGUUCGAAUAGGGCGGUACCUUGACGGUACCUAACCAGAAAGCCACGGCUAACUACGUGCCACCAGCCGCGGUAAUACGUAGGUGGCAAGCGUUGUCCGGACUUAUUGGGCGU
rnacentral:rRNA from 1 species